CGGGGGGGAGGGGUGGCGAGGCGAGGCCUACGGAGCGGAGGAAGACACUUAAAGAUGAAGUGCUUAAUUCAAGGUCACAGAAUGUCGGGGAUGGACCUCCAGAUUUCCUUACUGUACUUAUCCUGUAUUACAUGAGGGAAAUGAAAUAAAAAGACUGCAACCCUCCUCCCAGCUACUCUAGUGAGGUGGUAGCUAGAGACAGAGUCUUCUUGCUAUGUUGCCCAGGCUGGUCUUGAACUCCUAACCUCAAGCGAUCCUCCCAUCUUGGCCUCCCAGGUGUCAGGAUUACAGGCAUGUGCUAUCACACCCAACCUGAUACAUUGCCUUUAUAAAUUUUUUUUUCUUUAUUCUAAAAAACAGAAAAAACAAAACUGGAUACAUGUGCAGAACAUGCAGGUUUGUUACAUAGCUGUACGUGUGCCAUGGUGGUUUGCUGCACCUAUUGACCUAUCCUGUGAGACGUGGUCUUGUAACACAGUGGUUAAGAAUGUGACUUUGGAGCCAGCCUGCUAGGGGCUGAAUUCUGACUCAGCCAUUUAUUAACUGUGUGACCUUAGGUCAUAGAAUUUUCCACACUCCUUGACGGAGGUUCUUAACCCUUAUCCAUCAGCAUUCUCAGACAGCACCUCCGGUUAGGGACAGUAUCUGACCGUCCGACAUCCCUGCAGCCCCCAUGCUGUCACACAGACUCAGCCUCAGGUAGAUGGUUUCCGUAGAUGGUGGCUUUCUUUGGACCCUUGAUAUCAACCAGUUACUAUUUGGGGACCAGAUGUGCAGAGGUAAUGAAUACCAGGGAAUCAGGAAACCACUGG
rnacentral:antisense_RNA from 1 species